GGCUGGGACCCCUAACUCUGACCCCACAGUGAGAUGGAAAAGAACAGCCUGAGUGGACAGUAAGGCCCCGACAAGAUGCGGAGAUGGAAGUGCUAACUCAGCAUGUGUUCUGGGACCAGUGAGCAGGUUGGGAAUUUUGGAAGAAGAGACACACUACAGAGCAGAUAGAUCGACCCACUUAUUCAGAACACCUGAGGUCGAGCACCUGCCGUGGGCCUGCUGGUGUGUGAGAUCUGGGGGCCGUGAUCCUGGACAAGACGGCCACACCAGUCGCUGGGCAGACGUUCCCAGAGCCCUCUCCAACCCUCCCUGCUAUGCCUGGGAGAAUGCCCUGCCUCCUUGUUACAGGACUGAGCCACAGGAGGCCUUGGUGGCCUUGGUGACGCAGGGGUGCCCAGGACAGCAUUCUGGGCUUGGCGUCUCAGACGGGAGCCCAAAGGCAGAUUUCAGCUGGAAGAAGAUGUUUCCAAAAGGAGGCUGGGCACAAAUGCUCUUUGUAACACAUCUUGAACGUGGGUGUGCAGAGAAUCCUGACCACUCGAUGCUGGUGCUGAUGUGCAGAGAAGCAGCAGAUCCCAACGACUGCCGAGCGUGCUCUGAAUCUGAAAAACAGUGAGAAGAUUUUCCUGCUCAAGAAAGGCAAUUUCACCUCCACUUGAAGGAACUGGAGUGCCUUACAGAGAACAUCUCAACAAGAGAACACGGAGUUCAGAGAAUUUCUGGAAUGUAGUAUCAAGGCUACAAGGAGAGACUGGAUUGGGCUGGACCUGUAACUGUAAGGAAGAGGAUGUGACUAAAAAGAUGAUGUCAUUUGCAGCUGCUUCCACUGUCUAGGGAGAUGUCCUGGGGUCAGCUCUUCCCUUGCAGGGACAGAGGGAGGGCUGUGGCUGCCUGCACUGCUUUGGAUCCCUGACAACUUCCCCUGGGUUCCCGGAGCGUGCACUGCGGCCUUAGCCAAUUUCCCCUGAGAUGGUGAGAGCAGGUGGAACCACAGGCACAUAUAUCCCUGAAGCUCACAGCUCCGCAAAGAGCCAAUGAGUGGAGCCCAGCGGUUCUCUGAAGCACACAACUUCAAUAAGCCACAUCCUCGAGGGGAAGAUAAAUUAAGGAUUCACAGAUACACAGUACUCUGUAUAACAUAGAUAAGCAUAUACACAACGGAAUAUUACUCAUCCAUAAAAAGGAACGCAUUUGAGUCAGUUCUGAUGAGGUGGAUGAACCUAGAACCUAUUAUACAGAGUGAAGUGAGUCAGAAAGAGAAAGAUAAAUAUCGUAUUCUAACGCAUAUAUAUAGAAUCUAGAAAAAUGGUACUGAAGAAUUUACUUGCAGGAUAGCAGUGGAGAAACAGACAUAGAGAAUAAACUUACGAACAUGGGGAGAGG
ensembl:lncRNA